rnacentral:tRNA from 1 species
UAAAUUUUAACUUUAAUAGAAUAAAGUACUUAAUUGUCAAUUAAUAAAAUACUAGUUCGAAUCUAGUAGAUCUCG